rnacentral:rRNA from 1 species
AGCUAACUUCAAGCCCUAACAAUACAACCACACAACUAUCUUACUCAACAUAAAAAACAUUAAUUUAUCAUAGUAUAGGUGAUAGAAAAGAUAUAUUAGGCGCCAUAACGAAAGUACCGCAAGGGAAAUAUGAAAGAAUAGUUAAAGCACAAAUCAGCAAAGAUUAACACUUGUACCUUUUGCAUAAUGAAUUAGCUAGAAAAAUUGGGCAAAAAGAAUUUAGUCCACCUUCCCGAAAUUAAGUGAGCUACUAUAAAACAGCAAAUCAGAGCCAACUCAUCUAUGUAGCAAAAUAGUGAGAAGAUUUUAUAGUAGAGGUGAAAAGCCUAUCGAACUUAAAGAUAGCUGGUUAUCCAAAACACGAAUUUUAGUUCAACUUUAAAUUUAAUUUACGUAAACAAUUAAACCAAACUUAAAUUUAAAAGUUAAUCAAAAGGGGGACAACUCUUUUGAUCCAGUAAACAAACUUUUUUAGAGGGUAAUGACUUACUACAAACCAUAGUUGGCCUAAAAGCAGCCAUCAAUUAAGAAAGCGUUAAANNNNNNNNNNNNNNNNNNNNNNNNNNNNNNNNNNNNNNNNNNNNNNNNNNNNNNNNAAUAACUAUUGGAUGAUUCUAUUCUAAUAUAGAAGACAUAAUGCUAAUAUCAGUAACAUGAACUACUUCUCCUUGCAUAAGCUUGAAUUAGAAACGGACAUCCACUAAUAAUUAACAAAAUAAUAAAUAUAAUCCUAACACUAGCAAAUUAUUAUAAUUAUUGUUAAUCCAACACAGGCCUGCAUAACCAUUAUUAAAGGAAAGAUUAAAAAGAAUAAAAGGAACUCGGCAAACCGAUAACCCGCCUGUUUACCAAAAACAUCACCUCUAGAAUUAAUUAUUUUAGAGGCACUGCCUGCCCAGUGAGUUACAACUUCAACGGCCGCGGUAUCCUGACCGUGCAAAGGUAGCAUAAUCACUUGUCUCUUAAAUAGAGACUAGUAUGAAUGGCAUAACGAGGGUUCAACUGUCUCUUAUUCUUAAUCAGUGAAAUUGACCUCCCCGUGCAGAGGCGGGGCUUCACAUACAAGACGAGAAGACCCUGUGGAGCUUAAGACUAAUAAAAUAAUUCACAAAACUUUAACUCCAAGGAAACAAAAUAAUGAAACAUAUUUUAUAGUCUUUGGUUGGGGUGACCUCGGAGUACAAAACAACCUCCGAAUGAAAUAACCUAGAUAAACAAAUCUAAGUGUAAUUAAAAUACCAGUAAUUGACCCAUAUAUUGAUCAACGGACCAAGUUACCCCAGGGAUAACAGCGCAAUCCUAUUUUAGAGCCCAUAUCGACAAUUAGGGUUUACGACCUCGAUGUUGGAUCAGGACAUCCAAAUGGUGCAGCCGCUAUUAAUGGUUCGUUUGUUCAACGAUUAAAGUCCUACGUGAUCUGAGUUCAGACCGGAGAAAUCCAGGUCGGUUUCUAUCUGUAAAUUCAUUUCUCCCAGUACGAAAGGACAAGAGAAAUAAGGCCAACGUUAUCUGAUGCGCCUUAGAAUGAUUAUAUGAACUAAUCUCAAUAUUCUUAUUCAAUA